rnacentral:tRNA from 1 species
GGAGGGGUGCCGGAGUGGCCAUAACGGGGCGGUCUUGAAAACCGCUGUGGGCGUCAGUCCACCGUGGGUUCGAAUCCCACCCCCUCCGCCA